rnacentral:rRNA from 1 species
CCUACGGGUGGCAGCAGUGAGGAAUAUUGGUCAAUGGACGAGAGUCUGAACCAGCCAAGUAGCGUGAAGGAUGACUGCCCUAUGGGUUUUAAACUUCUUUUAUAAAGGAAUAAAACGAGGCACGUGUGCCUUUUUGCAUUUACUUUAUGCAUAAGGAUCGGCGAACUCCGUGCCAGCCGCCUCGGUAAUACGGAGGAUCCGAUCGUUAUCCGGAUUUAUUGGGUUUAAAGGGAGCGUAGAUGGGUUGUUAAGUCAGUUGUGAAAGUUUGCGGCUCAACCGUAAAAUUGCACUUGAUACUGGCAGGCUUGAGUACAGUUGAGGGAGGUAGAAUUCGUGGUGUAGCGGUGAAAUGCGUAGAGAUCACGAAGAACACCGAUUGCGAAGGCAGCUUACUAAACAGUGACUGACAUUGAUGUUCGAAAGUGUGGGUAUCAAACAGGAUUAGAUACCCGAGUAGUC